UGGCUCAGAGGGUAAAGCGUCUGCCUGUAAUGCAGGAGAUCUGGGUUCGAUCCCUG
rnacentral:tRNA from 1 species